GAUGAACGCUAGCUACAGGCUUAACACAUGCAAGUCGAGGGGCAGCAUGCUUAUAGCAAUAUAAGUGAUGGCGACCGGCGCACGGGUGAGUAACACGUAUCCAACCUGCCGAUAACUCGGGGAUAGCCUUUCGAAAGAAAGAUUAAUACCCGAUGGCAUAAUAGAACCGCAUGGUUUGAUUAUUAAAGAAUUUCGGUUAUCGAUGGGGAUGCGUUCCAUUAGGCAGUUGGUGGGGUAACGGCCCACCAAACCUUCGAUGGAUAGGGGUUCUGAGAGGAAGGUCCCCCACAUUGGAACUGAGACACGGUCCAAACUCCUACGGGAGGCAGCAGUGAGGAAUAUUGGUCAAUGGACGAGAGUCUGAACCAGCCAAGUAGCGUGAAGGAUGACUGCCCUAUGGGUUGUAAACUUCUUUUAUAUGGGAAUAAAGUGGUCCACGUGUGGAUUUUUGUAU
rnacentral:rRNA from 1 species